rnacentral:rRNA from 1 species
CGCGUAGGCGGAUCAAUAAGUCAGUGGUGAAAUCUCUCGGCUCAACCGGGAAACUGCCAUUGAUACUGUUGAUCUUGAGUUCGGUUGAGGUAGGCGGAAUGUGUAAUGUAGCGGUGAAAUGCUUAGAUAUUACACAGAACACCAAUUGCGAAGGCAGCUUACUAGACCGACACUGACGCUGAGGCACGAAAGCGUGGGGAGCGAACAGGAUUAGAUACCCUGGUAGUCC